rnacentral:tRNA from 1 species
GCCUGGGUGGCUCAGUUGGUUGAGCAUCUGACUUCAGCUCAGGUCAUGAUUUUGCAGUUUGUGAGUUCGAGCCCUGCGUCAGGCU